UUUGAUCCUGGCUCAGGAUAAAACGCUGGCGGCGCACAUAAGACAUGCAAGUCGAACGGACUUAACCAUUAGUUUACUAUUGGAGCGGUUAGUGGCGGACUGGUGAGUAACACGUAAGCAACCUGCCUAUCAGAGGGGAACAACAGUUAGAAAUGACUGCUAAUACCGCAUAUGCCAUGAAUAUCACAUGAUAUAAAUGGGAAAGGAGCAAUCCGCUGAUAGAUGGGCUUGCGUCUGAUUAGAUAGUUGGUGGGGUAACGGCCUACCAAGUCGACGAUCAGUAGCCGGACUGAGAGGUUGAACGGCCACAUUGGGACUGAGAUACGGCCCAGACUCCUACGGGAGGCAGCAGUCGGGAAUAUUGCGCAAUGGAGGAAACUCUGACGCAGUGACGCCGCGUGCAGGAAGAAGGUUUUCGGAUUGUAAACUGCUUUAGACAGGGAAGAUAAUGACAGUACCUGUAGAAUAAGCUACGGCUAACUACGUG
rnacentral:rRNA from 1 species